GAUAACAGGUUGAUUUUACCCAAGAGCUCACCAUCAACGGGAAGGUUUUGCACCUUGAUGUUGGCUCUUCGCCACCUGGGGCUGUAGUAUGUUCCAAGGGUUAGGUUGUUUGCCCAUUAAAGCGGCACGUGACCUAGGCAUAGAACGUCAUGAGACAGUUC
rfam:Gossypium raimondii Chr13_contig_371, whole genome shotgun sequence.